rnacentral:lncRNA from 1 species
UUGUGUGGUUUAGCAUUUACUUGACAAUAAGUUUGACAAGUGUUGUAGUGGAUAUGUUGAAAUGGAUAUAAAUUGAAAAAGUGUGGAAUUGGUUUAGAUAAUGCAUGAUGAGGGUUGAAAUUGAUACUUUUGUGCAUAAGAGUUGUGUUAGCAUGCUUGAUUGGAGAAGGAAAUUCCUCCCCUUGGUACCACCUUAGUGUAGUAAAGCUUACUUAAUUAUUUUAUAUAUAUGAUAUAAAUAUGAUUAUUUGAUAACUUUUAUAUAUUUAGAGUUUUAACAAAGAAAUGGGUAUUUAAGGUGUAUGUGCUUUGAAUUUUGAAUAAGAAAGUUUUAAAAGAAAAGGAAUUUAUGAUAAAUUUCCUAUAUUGAGUAAUUAUGUUUAAGUAUAUGAGUUACUUAAGUUCUAAAGUAAGCUUACAUGUAUGAUUUCAUAUGAUAAGAAAUUGUCUAUGUUAAGUAAUUAUGUUUAAGUAUGAUUCUAAAGUAAGCUUNNN